AGCAAUCGACGGAAGGCCUGCAGCUUGCUGCGGGUACUCGAGUGGCGAACGGGUGAGUAACACGUGGGUGAUCUGCCUUGCACUUCGGGAUAAGCUUGGGAAACUGGGUCUAAUACCGGAUAGGACAGCUGUUUAGUGUCAGUUGUGGAAAGUUUUUUCGGUGCAAGAUGAGCUCGCGGCCUAUCAGCUUGUUGGUGGGGUAAUGGCCUACCAAGGCGUCGACGGGUAGCCGGCCUGAGAGGGUGUACGGCCACAUUGGGACUGAGAUACGGCCCAGACUCCUACGGGAGGCAGCAGUGGGGAAUAUUGCACAAUGGGCGGAAGCCUGAUGCAGCGACGCCGCGUGGGGGAUGAAGGCCUUCGGGUUGUAAACUCCUUUCGACAGGGACGAAGCGUAAGUGACGGUACCUGUAUAAGAAGCACCGGCUAACUACGUGCCAGCAGCCGCGGUAAUACGUAGGGUGCGAGCGUUGUCCGGAAUUACUGGGCGUAAAGAGCUCGUAGGUGGUUUGUCGCGUCGUCUGUGAAAUUCCGGGGCUUAACUCCGGGCGUGCAGGCGAUACGGGCUGACUUGAGUGCUGUAGGGGAGACUGGAAUUCCUGGUGUAGCGGUGAAAUGCGCAGAUAUCAGGAGGAACACCGAUGGCGAAGGCAGGUCUCUGGGCAGUAACUGACGCUGAGGAGCGAAAGCAUGGGUAGCGAACAGGAUUAGAUACCCUGGUAGUCCAUGCCGUAAACGGUGGGCGCUAGGUGUAGGGGGCUUCCACGUCUUCUGUGCCGUAGCUAACGCAUUAAGCGCCCCGCCUGGGGAUAC
rnacentral:rRNA from 1 species